AAAAAGUUAGAAGUAAUAUACUUCCAAAAGCGGGGGAGGGAGGGAGGACGACGGUGACAGCGGCCUGCGGAGGAGGAAGGUGAUGGUGGAGGGAAUAAUGGAUAGGGAUGGUAGGGAGGGGAUAGUGGAGAGGGAUGUUGGUGGUGUGGGCUAAGACAGAGAGAGAAGAGAACUUCAGAGAGAAUGAAAGAAGAGAUAUUAAGAGAGAAAUGAGAGAAAUAAAAGAUUAAUCCUAACUAUCCAUCUACUUCAAAAAUUGAUCGAUGGUUAGGAAUUUAGGAGCACAAAAAUUGAUGUGCUCCUAAUAACACAAAGGCUACAGUACUAAAGUGCUGCCACUAUCAACAGUAAAUGGCUCGGUUUACUAUUGAUUGAUUUUCAAUGAUGGAACUCCAAAUUAAUGAUUGGCAUCGUUGAACAUGACAUGAACUAAUUUAAAUUAUUUAGAAAUUAAAUUUCAUACUUUUUCGACAUCACAAGUCGAACGGUCAAAGGGUUACAAAAUUUAGAAUUUAAUGGCUGAUACAGUACAUUUGCUCGUUCAACAGUACAAAAGAGUCCAAAUCAGCUAAAUUUUUGUUAAAAAAAUUUUGAACUAUUUAAAAGAAUAUUUAGACUCUAGAUUUUGAAAGCAAAAAUUGUGUCAUUACUUUUUGAAGUAUAUUUAUUUUCAGCCGUUCAUUUUAUGCUCACUUGAUUGACAGGGGAAUAGAGUUCGGCUACUAUACUUUUUUGAGUAUAGCUUUCUUUGUACUGAUAAAUUUUCGGCCGUUAGAUCUAUUUCUUUGAUUAUUUUCUUCUGUUAGAUCAUGCUAUUCAACCAACCACCCACUCAGCCCUAAGAGACCACUAUCAUUCUAACCGGAGACCACUAUCAUCCUAACCACUCAUUUCUUCAUCUAAUGGCAAAAAACUUAUGAAUACAAAAGAGUCUAUACUUAUAAGAGUAUAGUAGCCCUAGCCCAAAGGAAUAAUAUCAAAAAAGCAAAUGAAUAGCUCACUAUCAUUUUUCUAGUUCUUAGAU
rnacentral:lncRNA from 1 species